rnacentral:misc_RNA from 1 species
UUUUGAUAUUGUUGUUUAAUUUCGGUGUGUUUCGUUUCUUUUCUCCCUUUUUCUUCUCAUCAUUCUACGCCUCCGAUGCCGAUGCCGGCCGACGGAGCCGCCCAGAUGGAUGCCGCCGGCGUCACCAAGGAGUUCAUGUUGUUCGGAGUCAGAGUCAUGGUGGACCCGAUGAGGAAGAGCGUCAGUAUGAACAAUCUCUCUCAGUAUGAGCAUCCUCUUGAAGCUUCCAUUGAUGACAAUAGCCGCAACAGUAAGAGUACUGUCUCUGCCGCCGACAGGAAGGAAGAUUCCGCUACCGGUUACGCUUCUGCGGAUG